UACGUAGGGGGCAAGCGUUGUCCGGAUUUAUUGGGCGUAAAGAGCGUGUAGGCGGCUAGGUAGGUCCGUUGUGAAAACUCGAGGCUCAACCUCGAGACGCCGAUGGAAACCAUCUGGCUAGAGUCCGGAAGAGGAGAGUGGAAUUCCUGGUGUAGCAGUGAAAUGCGCAGAUAUCAGGAAGAACACCCGUGGCUAAGGCGGCUCGCUAGUACGGUACUGACGCUGAGACGCGAAAGCGUGGGGAGCGAACAGG
rnacentral:rRNA from 1 species